GGGGUUGUAGCUCAGUGGUAGAGUGCUUGCCUCCCAUGCGGGAGGCCCUGGGUUCGAUCCUCAGUACCA
rnacentral:tRNA from 1 species